UAGAGCGGCGGACGGGUGAGUAACACGUGGACAAUCUGCCCCCCGGCCCGGGAUAGCCCAGGGAAACCUGGAUUAAUACCGGAUGAGACGGGACCCGCGAUGGCGGGAUCCGGGAAAGGCGCUGCGGCGCCGCCGGGGGAUGAGUCUGCGUCCCAUUAGCUAGACGGCGGGGUAACGGCCCACCGUGGCGACGAUGGGUAGCCGGCCUGAGAGGGUGGACGGCCACAUUGGAACUGAGACACGGUCCAGACUCCUACGGGAGGCAGCAGCUAAGAAUCUUCCGCAAGUGGGACGAAAGCCUGACGGAGACCGACGCCGCGUGAACGAAGAACGGCCGUGUAGGUUAGUAAAGUUCGUUUCGGGAGGGGAACAACCGUGGCAGGGGAUGGCCGCGGGAUGACGUGAAUCCCGGAAUAAGCCCCGGCUAACUACGUGCCAGCCGCCGC
rnacentral:rRNA from 1 species